UCUUUCUUUCUCUCCCUCUCGAUCUCUCUUUCUCUUUCUCCCUCUCUCUGACAGUCGCCUUUCAAAUAAACAAAUAAAUAAAUUUUAAACAAAAGAGUGAAGAACAGGGUAAAAUCAGAGGGAGAUUUUCUAACUCACAAAAUGAGAGUUUGCAAAAGUUCUGUCUUUGGGCAAGCAGGCAAAAGAGUAACAUUUCCUCCAAGCUAUUUUUUCAGUUCCAAACACAGGAAACAGGCACAUCAACUGACUCAAGAAUUUAGCUGGAACCAGUCAUGACCACAGCCGCGAUAACAGGAUGUGCACAUGACUGAGAGUUAACAUUUUCCUCAUUUUAGUGCUAAGAUCUCUGCAACAUGGGGAGCUUAAGCCUCAUUGCCAUAAACAUGUGAUUGAAGUGUUAGCCUGUCUUUGAAUUGUCCCUGCGUGAGCCUCUGCCCACCCCUUCAUGUGAAGACAUGUACUUGCUCUUUUGCAUAUUCACAUGUCCUAAGAUAAAACACACCCACUUCCAUUUGCUCGGGGAGCCGCGGCUUUGGGAAUUAUUCUCUGUGGUCUCUUUAUUUGCUGCAAAUGAAUUACUUCAUAUGACAUCUACUUAUUUCUACUCCCUGAGAAGCAAACCUCCAACUUGGGUGGAUAACACUUGGAGCCAAAGUUCCAAGGCUAUGCCUUGAGACCUUUACCCGGGAAAUGGAUGAAUUACAUUAAGAAUCCCAUAGAAACCACCCUGUUGCACCCAGUCCCAGAGGGGCUGCCUGGGAAUUUCAGGGCCCAGCUUAGGAGGAGACGAAAUCAGAGACAAGGGCACAUCAGGAACAACCCCACAAGCGCUUCCAGAAGCACGACUCAUCCGAAGCCCAGCCCAGGAUGCCCUGUAAUAUAAAAACAUACUCCUACUGCUGACUCCUCAUCUGCUGCACUCCUCAGGGACCAUCUGUGGCUGUGGCUGUGGCUGAGACUAGGGUUGACCUAAAUACCACCAAGAUGUCCUGUGAGAAGACGCUGCAGCAGUCCCAGUCCCCUCCCAAAUGUGCUGCACUCAAGUCCCCAGCCCCAAGCCCUCCUCUAGUUUCCUCCUCCUGUGACUCCAGCUCUGGGGAUGGUGGCUGCUCCCUGGGUCACCACAGAGCCUGUCAGUCUCUUCAAGGCCAGCACCAGAGCUCCCGCUGCUGUUGCUGCAGCAGCACCAAUGGCAAUGGCAGCGGCAGCGGAAGUGGCAGUGGCAGCGGCAGCGGAAGCGGAAGCGGAAGUGGCAGCGGAAGCGGAAGCGGAAGCGGAAGCGGAAGCGGCAGCGGCAGUGGAAGUGGCAGUGGCAGCGGCAGCGGAAGCGGCAGCGGCAGCGGAAGCGGAAGUGGCAGCGGCAGCGGCCGAGGAAGCGGCCAGUAGUCCCGGGGCUCCCACUGCAGCCGUGGGAAGCACUGAGAAACCCCCUGGAGGAGUGAGAGGACCGUGGGCCCACUGCGAGGUCCCAACCCUUCUCUUUUCUCCGUUGCCACGCCCCCCUCCAAGAAACGCGUGAGAUUUGCUUCCUUAAACAGCCACUCACCCUGUGCCUUGGACCUACAUUUUCAGUCCAGCGUUAUCUGUAGUCCUCACUGGGGAAAAAUACUGUGGAACAUGUACUUUGCAACAGUAAAUUUUGUUUCAAAUCUCAA